rnacentral:rRNA from 1 species
CCGAGUCUUAACUGGGCGUUAAGUUGCAGGGUAUAGACCCGAAACCCGGUGAUCUAGCCAUGGGCAGGUUGAAGGUUGGGUAACACUAACUGGAGGACCGAACCGACUAAUGUUGAAAAAUUAGCGGAUGACUUGUGGCUGGGGGUGAAAGGCCAAUCAAACCGGGAGAUAGCUGGUUCUCCCCGAAAGCUAUUUAGGUAGCGCCUCGUGAAUUCAUCUCCGGGGGUAGAGCACUGUUUCGGCAAGGGGGUCAUCCCGACUUACCAACCCGAUGCAAACUGCGAAUACCGGAGAAUGUUAUCACGGGAGACACACGGCGGGUGCUAACGUCCGUCGUGAAGAGGGAAACAACCCAGACCGCCAGCUAAGGUCCCAAAGUCAUGGUUAAGUGGGAAACGAUGUGGGAAGGCCCAGACAGCCAGGAUGUUGGCUUAGAAGCAGCCAUCAUUUAAAGAAAGCGUAAUAGCUCACUGGUCGAGUCGGCCUGCGCGGAAGAUGUAACGGGGCUAAACCAUGCACCGAAGCUGCGGCAGCGACGCUUAUGCGUUGUUGGGUAGGGGAGCGUUCUGUAAGCCUGCGAAGGUGUACUGUGAGG